AAGCCAGUUGUUAUUUCAUCGCAAAUCUCAGAACUUUUUAAACGAGGAGAAACUUGCAGAAACUAGCUUAAGAACUGUCGUCGUCACAAUGAGCAGAACACUUCUUACAGUUGUAGUGGUCCUGUUAGUUGCUGGUGUUUUCGUAGAGCAAGGUAGCACCCUGCUCCGGGCUGGUAGGGAUAAAAUAGAGAGGAUGCAACAUAAUUCUAAAAUGCAACAAAGGGAGACGGAUGAAAUAGGUGGAGUGCCUUAUUGUAUCAUGCCAGACACGGUAGAAAGGAAGAAAUGAGGACAUUAAAGACCCUAAAGAAUUAUGACUUUCCACCAAGCUGAAGGAAAUUUACUGCUUCAUGUACAUCGCAAUGGAAAAUGAAAAAAAUAAAAUAAAAAAAACAAUACCAAAAACAAAAAAAGCUAAUCACAUUCUAAUGCGACUGUAAGCUCAAACUGUAAAUAAAAUAGCAUUUAAAGAUUACAA